rnacentral:rRNA from 1 species
UACAGAGGGUGCAAGCGUUGUUCGGAAUUAUUGGGCGUAAAGCGCGCGCAGGCGGAUAUUUAAGUCGGUCGUGAAAUCUCCCGGCCCAACUGGGAGGGGUCGUCCGAGACUGGAUGUCUUGAGGACAGCAGAGGUUGGUGGAAUUCCUGGUGUAGUGGUGAAAUGCGUAGAGAUCAGGAGGAACACCGGUGGCGAAGGCGGCCAACUGGGCUGUCACUGACGCUGAGGCGCGAAAGCUCGGGGAGCGAACGGG